UACGAAGGGGGCUAGCGUUGCUCGGAUUGACUGGGCGUAAAGGGCGCGUAGGCGGUUUGCACAGUCAGACGUGAAAUUCCUGGGCUCAACCUGGGGGCUGCGUUUGAUACGUGCAGGCUUGAGUUCGGAAGAGGGUCGUGGAAUUCCCAGUGUAGAGGUGAAAUUCGUAGAUAUUGGGAAGAACACCGGUGGCGAAGGCGGCGACCUGGUCCGAUACUGACGCUGAGGCGCGAAAGCCAGGGGAGCGAACGGG
rnacentral:rRNA from 1 species